rnacentral:rRNA from 1 species
GACGAACGCUGGCGGCGUGCCUAACACAUGCAAGUCGAACGAGGUCCAGGGAAGCUUGCUUCCUGAAGACCUAGUGGCGAACGGGUGAGUAACACGUGAGAAACCUGCCUCGGAGUGGGGAAUAACUCGGGGAAACUCGAGCUAAUACCGCAUACCUUCACAUGAUCGCAUGGUCGAGUGAAGAAAGAAUUUCGCUCUGAGAGGGUCUCGCGGCCUAUCAGCUUGUUGGUGGGGUAACGGCCUACCAAGGCAACGACGGGUAGCUGGUUUGAGAGAACGAUCAGCCACACUGGGACUGAGACACGGCCCAGACUCCUACGGGAGGCAGCAGUGGGGAAUCUUGCGCAAUGGGCGAAAGCCUGACGCAGCAACGCCGCGUGCGGGAUGACGGCCUUCGUGGUUGUAACCGCUUUCAGCAGGGACGAAAAUGACGGUACCUG